rnacentral:lncRNA from 1 species
GUACAUCAGAGUGCUCCAUCCCAGUUCCCCUUUCAGUUCCAGGGACAAAUGACCACUUAUCAACGUGUAAUGAAAUAUGGUGCAUCUGCUACCAUAAAAGACAGCCAUCCUGUAUCCCUGUAUAGUUGGCGCCUUUUGUCCGUGUCCGUGUCCUGUCCGUGUCCUUGUCCGUGUGUUCGGCUUCCGGUCAAGCUUUUGUCGUGUGUGCUUUGGCAUCUCAUAUGAAUUAUGAUGAUGGGGAGGACCCAGAUCCCAGACUGUCCUCUGUUCUCUUCUGUUGGGGAGCUCAUUUAUUACAUUUUGGCUUUUUGACAGAUUGCUAAGCGUAGUAACCGUUUCCGCACUAAUUUCCGUGUCCUGCAACUAUUCGUUGUCUGGUUUUUGGGCACGACUGAAGCUGCUGGCCCAUCUCCACCAUUAAAAGCCAAAGCAAAUUACUCAUCACAUCAACGGCCAGGUCCCCAGCAUUUGCUUUUUAUUAUGUAUGCCAUGUAGAGGGAUUUUAAUAAAUCGUUUGCCUUCAUCUACGAGUGUCCAUUCAUCUUUCGUUUGCUCUUCCCUUUCCAUUGCUUGUCGACUCUCUCUUGGCUUUUAUUAGUUUGUCAAUAAAGUGCCAAAAGACCUUGAUUAUGAUCGCCAUAUAUUGCCAUCCGUCUGAGCUCUCCAGAUGAUGGCCUCCAGGCUACGAAUAUUUACGAGUUUGUCCAGCUUGCCAAUUCCCAUAUCAUUUGCCAGAUAUGAGAUUACUCAUGUCCUUCCGUUCGCCAUCCUUCUUAACCUUUUUGCACCAAAGACACACCAGACCAUCGUCUUCUGUGUCAUCUGCUGUGCUGUGACACAAGUUUAUCAGUUUUCAGAGAUGAGUAAAGUUGCUGGGCCUGUACUGAGCAAACAAAGCCUGAAGCAAAUACUUUUCAUGUUAGCAAACCUUUGCACAAAGUUGAUAAAAAUGUAGCUAAAGAAGUUGCCAAAUAAAAG